GCUGACCAUCCUACGGGAGGCAGCAGUGGGGAAUAUUGCACAAUGGGCGCAAGCCUGAUGCAGCCAUGCCGCGUGUAUGAAGAAGGCCUUCGGGUUGUAAAGUACUUUCAGCAGUGAGGAAGGUGGAUAUGUUAAUAGCAUAUUCAUUUGACGUUAGCUGCAGAAGAAGCACCGGCUAACUCCGUGCCAGCAGCCGCGGUAAUACGGAGGGUGCGAGCGUUAAUCGGAAUUACUGGGCGUAAAGCGCAUGCAGGUGGUUUGUUAAGUCAGAUGUGAAAGCCCGGGGCUCAACCUCGGAAUUGCAUUUGAAACUGGCAAACUAGAGUACUGUAGAGGGGGUAGAAUUUCAGGUGUAGCGGUGAAAUGCGUAGAGAUCUGAAGGAAUACCGGUGGCGAAGGCGGCCCCCUGGACAGAUACUGACACUCAGAUGCGAAAGCGUGGGGAGCAAACAGGAUUAGAUACCCUGGUAG
rnacentral:rRNA from 1 species